rnacentral:tRNA from 1 species
AAAAAUAGUUUGGAACAAAUUGUUGUUGCUAACUAUAAUUUAAGUGGUUCAAUUCCAUUUUAUUUUUU